rnacentral:lncRNA from 1 species
CUCCCCUUCUCCCUUUCCUUUCUCUGGACUCCUCUUGGUUUACUUUUCUACCAAAUGGAGGCUCUCUCGGUCCUCUGUGGGUUUUUUUCUUUUGUUGUUGUUGGUUUGUUUGUUUGUUUGUUUUUUCUCAUUAGCUCUCUUUGCAGUUUCUCUCCUAAAUAAGCCCAAUAGAAGAGCAAGCAUCACUUAGACCAAGCGUCAGGUCACCCACUGCUGGCCACUUCAUGAAGCACUAUCUCCUGGUUUGUGUCUCUAUCCUCAGAGGAAUCAAAGUGAACUACUAAGCACCUGGUACCAACAAGGCCUUGUGGGUAUCCCACCUGCCUGAGACGGAGUCCCACAAGCUAGGCUCUCAUCUCUGGACAUGGGCUUUGGGACAGGCCCUCUCCCCCUACCCAGCUGUCAUUGGCUCACCCAUAGAUGCUUUCUCACCUUAGGGUACACAGACUCCCAAGUCCCCUCUAGGCCGAGAUUAAGGUUCAGUAACGCUUGGUCAAGGGCUGGAUGAACACCGUGCUUCUGCCAAAGCCAACCACCUCAAGACUCUGAGGUUAGCGGGACUCUCUCUACCUCAAGGAACUGGACCCCCCACAGUGGUCUUCCCCCCUACUUGGUGGUCACUAGAUUGGAAGAAGUCCAGACCAUCAUGUCUGCUCUCUAGGUUAGAGCCCGAACCACAGUCCAGAAAAGAGAAUCUAGACCACGGUUCUCUCCAGGCACAUGUGACCACUUAACUCCCCACCAUGACAUUGGACUUUGAGUCCGUCUGGUCAAUAACAGCCAGUGUUAGAGGGGGUGAACUGUGCUCUGCACUGGGACCCAGACAGACACUGGUACACAGAGAAUGGUCUCUUGCACAUUAAUAGUUGAACUUGGUGUGGGCUUUGGGGAGGCUCAGUUUCCUCAUCUGCAGAGUGAGGGGCUUGGAGUGGGAACGCCAUGGAUUCUGCUUUCUAAGCUUCAGCACCAUGACGUUGAUCCACCAGCAGCACAGCUGGCCUCAGCCACCCUCCACAAAGCCAUUCUUGCUCUGGCCUGCUUGGGAAUACGACAGUUAUUCCUGUGUUUGUGUGUGUUUCUCUCCUGGACCAGCCUCGGGGACUUUCCACCCUUCCUGUUCCUCUGCAGACAUUUGUUUUCAUCUGCAGAACGAGACAUCAUCAAGGACAGUGCUGAGCAAGACACAAAGAAAAGAAGCAUUCCUG